AAAUUGAAGAGUUUGAUCAUGGCUCAGAUUGAACGCUGGCGGCAGGCCUAACACAUGCAAGUCGAACGGUAACAGGAAGCAGCUUGCUGCUUUGCUGACGAGUGGCGGACGGGUGAGUAAUGUCUGGGAAACUGCCUGAUGGAGGGGGAUAACUACUGGAAACGGUGGCUAAUACCGCAUAACGUCGCAAGACCAAAGAGGGGGACCUUCGGGCCUCUUGCCAUCAGAUGUGCCCAGAUGGGAUUAGCUAGUUGGUGAGGUAACGGCUCACCAAGGCGACGAUCCCUAGCUGGUCUGAGAGGAUGACCAGCCACACUGGAACUGAGACACGGUCCAGACUCCUACGGGAGGCAGCAGUGGGGAAUAUUGCACAAUGGGCGCAAGCCUGAUGCAGCCAUGCCGCGUGUAUGAAGAAGGCCUUCGGGUUGUAAAGUACUUUCAGCGGGGAGGAAGGUGUUGCGGUUAAUAACC
rnacentral:rRNA from 1 species